rnacentral:rRNA from 1 species
UACAGGGGGGGCAAGCGUUGUUCGGAAUUACUGGGCGUAAAGGGCCAGUAGGCGGCCAACUAAGUCCGACGUGAAAUCCCUAGGCUUAACCUAGGAACUGCGUCGGAUACUGGAUGGCUUGAAUUCGGGAGAGGGAUGCAGAAUUCCAGGUGUAGCGGUGAAAUGCGUAGAUAUCAGGAGGAACACCGGUGGCGAAGGCGGGUCUCUGGGCAGUAACUGACGCUGAGGAGCGAAAGCGUGGGGGGAGCGAACGGG